rnacentral:rRNA from 1 species
GUAGGUGGCAAGCGUUGUCCGGGAAUUAUUGGGGCGUAAAGCGCGCGCAGGCGGUUCUUUAAGUCUGAUGUGAGCCCACGGGCUCAACCGUGGAGGGUCAUUGGAAUCUGGAGAACUUGAGUACAGAAGAGGAAAGCGGAAUUCCACGUGUAGCGGUGAAAUGCGUAGAGAUGUGGAGGAACACCAGUGGCGAAGGCGGCUUUCUGGUCUGUAACUGACGCUGAGGCGCGAAAGCGUGGGGAGCAAACAGGAUUAGAUACCCUGGUAGUCCACGCCGUAAACGAUGAGUGCUAAGUGUUAGGGGGUUUCCGCCCCUUAGUGCUGCAGCUAACGCAUUAAGCACUCCGCCUGGGGAGUACGGCCGCAAAGGCUG